UACGAAGGGGGCUAGCGUUGCUCGGAAUCACUGGGCGUAAAGCGCACGUAGGCGGCUUUCUAAGUCAGGGGUGAAAUCCUGGAGCUCAACUCCAGAACUGCCUUUGAUACUGAGGAUCUUGAGUUCGGGAGAGGUGAGUGGAACUGCGAGUGUAGAGGUGAAAAUUCGUAGAUAUUCGCAAGAACACCAGUGGCGAAGGCGGCUCACUGGCCCGAUACUGACGCUGAGGCACGAAAGCGUGGGGAGCAAACAGG
rnacentral:rRNA from 1 species